rnacentral:rRNA from 1 species
UAACACGUAGGGGGCGAGCGUUGUCCGGAUUUAUUGGGCGUAAAGAGCUCGUAGGCGGCUCGGUAAGUCGGGUGUGAAAUUUCGAGGCUUAACCUCGAAACGCCACCCGAUACUGCUGUGGCUAGAGUCCGGUAGGGGAGCGUGGAAUUCCUGGUGUAGCGGUGAAAUGCGCAGAUAUCAGGAGGAACACCAGCGGCGAAGGCGGCGCUCUGGGCCGGUACUGACGCUGAGGAGCGAAAGCGUGGGGAUCAAACAGGAUUAGAUACCCUGGUAGUCCACGCCGUAAACGUUGGGCACUAGGUGUGGGGAGUUAUCAACGCUCUCCGUGCCGUAGCUAACGCAUUAAGUGCCCCGCCUGGGGAGUACGGCCGCAAGGCUA